GNCAUUNGNGGGCGUUGCUAAUACAUGCAAGUCGAGCGGACGGAUGGGAGCUUGCUCCCUGAAGUCAGCGGCGGACGGGUGAGUAACACGUGGGCAACCUGCCUGUAAGACUGGGAUAACUCCGGGAAACCGGGGCUAAUACCGGAUAACUCUUUUCCUCACAUGAGGAAAAGCUGAAAGAUGGUUUCGGCUAUCACUUACAGAUGGGCCCGCGGCGCAUUAGCUAGUUGGUGAGGUAACGGCUCACCAAGGCCACGAUGCGUAGCCGACCUGAGAGGGUGAUCGGCCACACUGGGACUGAGACACGGCCCAGACUCCUACGGGAGGCAGCAGUAGGGAAUCUUCCGCAAUGGACGAAAGUCUGACGGAGCAACGCCGCGUGAGUGAUGAAGGUUUUCGGAUCGUAAAACUCUGUUGUCAGGGAAGAACAAGUACCGGAUUAACUGCCGGUACCUUGACGGUACCUGACCANAAAGCCACGGCUAACUACGUGCCAUCANCCGCGGAAAUACUUAGGUGGCAAGC
rnacentral:rRNA from 2 species